UCCGGUCAAGAUAAAUUCACUCUAGUGUCUUAUGGCUUUUUAUUCCUAUGUGAUAGUAAUAAAGUCUCAUGUAGGGAUGGAAGCCAUGAAAUACAUUGUGAAAUGUCAUCAACUAAGAUGGGGCCAUCAGUAUAGAAAACAUCCUAGUUG
rnacentral:ncRNA from 2 species